UACGUAGGGAGCAAGCGUUGUCCGGAAUCAUUGGGCGUAAAGCGCGCGUAGGCGGCCCCGUAAGUCCGCUGUGAAAGUCAAAGGCUCAACCUUUGAAAGCCGGUGGAUACUGUGGGGCUAGAGUCCGGAAGAGGCGAGUGGAAUUCCUGGUGUAGCGGUGGAAUGCGCAGAUAUCAGGAGGAACACCGAUAGCGAAGGCAGCUCGCUGGGACGGUACUGACACUAAGGCGCGAAAGCGUGGGGAGCGAACAGG
rnacentral:rRNA from 1 species